rnacentral:snoRNA from 1 species
AACCCAUGGUGAGGGUACCCUCUCAAGAGGUCCUUGUAUCUCUUCCAUGCAUCAUAGAGUGUUUCUAAAUCCAUCUGCACAAAGGAAGAAAUAUCAUUACGUAAUUU